rnacentral:rRNA from 1 species
AGAAGACAUCCGAAGGAGAUUAAAGAUUUAUCGGUGAUGGAUGGGGAUGCGUCUGAUUAGCUUGUUGGCGGGGUAACGGCCCACCAAGGCAACGAUCAGUAGGGGUUCUGAGAGGAAGGUCCCCCACAUUGGAACUGAGACACGGUCCAAACUCCUACGGGAGGCAGCAGUGAGGAAUAUUGGUCAAUGGACGAGAGUCUGAACCAGCCAAGUAGCGUGCAGGAUGACGGCCCUAUGGGUUGUAAACUGCUUUUAUAAGGGAAUAAAGUGAGUCUCGUGAGACUUUUUGCAUGUACCUUAUGAAUAAGGACCGGCUAUUCUGUGCCAGCAGCCGCGGUAAUACGGAAGGUCCGGGCGUUAUCCGGAUUUAUUGGGUUUAAAGGGAGCGUAGGCCGGAGAUUAAGCGUGUUGUGAAAUGUAGACGCUCAACGUCUGCACUGCAGCGCGAACUGGUUUCCUUGAGUACGCACAAAGUGGGCGGAAUUCCGUGGUGUAGCGGUGAAAUGCUUAGAUAUCACGAAGAACUCCGAUUGCGAAGGCAGCUCACUGGAGCGCAACUGACGCUGAAGCUCGAAAGUGCGGGUAUCGAACAGGAUUAGAUACCCUGGUAGUCCGCACGGUAAACGAUGGAUGCCCGCUGUUGGUCUGAAUAGGUCAGCGGCCAAGCGAAAGCAUUAAGCAUCCCACCUGGGGGAGUA